rnacentral:lncRNA from 1 species
CCCAACCAAACACCAUUUCAGAUGCGGUACACUCAGAUAAAUCACUCUCAUUUGAAGUGCUGCCAGCACAGUCUUUGCAACUAGCCCAAAGCAUAUACUUAAGAAGUUUUUAUAAAUUGUUGUGGUGUUCAUUAUUAUGUUUAAUUCUUAUGCCAAACUGUUUUCUGAUGAAGACAGCAUUGUGCUUUAUGCAAGAAUGGAAACCUCAAAAUAAUCACCAUCAAGUUUCUAUGACUUAUGGGAAGACAGACUAAGAUGGUCCACAGGUGUAAGAUGAAAUCCACAAUGUCGGAAUUAUAAAUGCUUAGAGUGGCCCAGACUAGAAGACAAGCCCAAACCACCAGUAGAAGAAUGGAGUACGAUAUGGUCCAAGAUGUAUCCUUAAAAGUUUUGUCUCAACCCUCAGUUUGAAUUAUGAGGAUUGAUCUUCAGUCCAGCCAGCAGAAAUUGACUGUGCAUUUUCCGUUGUAUUUAUUGUACAGACUAUGUACAUUCUAGAAGGUUCCUUUAGUGCUACAAUGUUGUACUUUUUGUCCCAGCAAUUUGAGGGCGUGCAAAUUCCACAAAGUCAUCAAUAAGGACAGGCCAUGCUCCUUCUUCAUCAUAAUUGGACAUGUCAUCUGCAAUCAUUGAACUGAAGUCUAACAGAAGAUUCCACGUGUCUUUUGGUAUUGAUCGUUUAUGAUGCUCCAACAAAAAUUUAUUCCAUAAGUCUAAGAAUUUAAAUCUUCCAUUAAGCACUAAGUUCCAGUAAGCAAUGGCCAUUUCUAGAUCCUAACUCUGUCAUGCCAUCCAUGAACUCCUGUUUGGAGAACUCGAACUGUGUGGCCGCCCUGAACUUCCAUGCAAUGAUCAACACACUGAUGCUGGCUGGAUCGAGGGCCAGAUCAUCACAGAACUGCUGUAUACCAUCUAUUCCAAUUUUAUUUUCAUCCUGAGGGUCUUUGUAUCUAGUGUACAGUUGCUCUAACUUCUUCCUGUCCAACGAUCCUUUUACACUCUCCCGUAUAUAAAGUUCUGGAUUUUGAAAAAAAUUAUCUGUUGCAACAUCUAACUUCCAGUCAUUUUGAGAAAGACAACUUACUGCAGUUUUCUCACUAGAUUGUGUGAAGAUCAUAAACUGACUAACUUUAUCCUUCUGCGAUGAUUUCAACUUGUUCAUGUUGGUGUCCUCCGGACCUCUCC